ACGCCAAGGUAAAAACACCGGUUCUCGUACGAUCACCGAAGUUAAGCAACGUUGAGACUGGUCAGUACCUAGCUGGGUAACCGCUUGGGUAUGUCUGGUGUUGUAA